AGCCAGUGUGGCUUAGUGGUUAAAGUGUCAGAUUAGGGCCUGGGAAAGACCAGGGUUCAAAUCCUUACUCGGCCA